UACGUAGGGUGCGAGCGUUGUCCGGAAUUAUUGGGCGUCAAGGGCUCGUAGGCGGUUUGUCGCGUCGGGAGUGAAAACCUUGGGCUUAACUCAGGGCUUGCUUUCGAUACGGGCAGACUAGAGGUAUGCAGGGGAGAACGGAAUUCCUGGUGUAGCGGUGAAAUGCGCAGAUAUCAGGAGGAACACCGGUGGCGAAGGCGGUUCUCUGGGCAUGAUCUGACGCUGAGGAGCGAAAGUGUGGGGAGCGAACAGG
rnacentral:rRNA from 1 species